CCAAGGGGCUAUGGUAGAAGGGGUCGCAGUCCUAGCCCUAGGGGACGUUAUGGUGGUGCUGGUGGUCGUGGUGCUAGAGAUCUUCCUACUAGCCUUCUAGUGCGUAAUCUUCGCCACGAUUGCAGGCCCGAAGACCUCCGCAGGCCUUUUGAACAGUUUGGUGCACUCAAGGACAUUUACUUACCUAGGGAUUAUUAUACUGGGGAACCUCGUGGUUUCGGUUUUGUUCAAUAUUCAGAUCCUCAUGAUGCUGCUGAGGCGAAACAUCAUAUG
rnacentral:misc_RNA from 1 species